rnacentral:misc_RNA from 1 species
UCUCCGUAGGUGAACCUGCGGAGGGAUCAUUACUGAGUGAGGGUUUCCGGGCCCGACCUCCAACCCUUUUGUGAACCACCUCGUUGCUUCGGGGGCGACCCUGCCGUUCGCGGCGUGGGGCCCCCGGAGCCCAUCAAACCCUGCGUAACUAAGUCGUCGGAGUUUAAACAAAUAAAACAAAACUUUCAACAGCGGAUCUCGUGGUUCGGGCAUCGAUGAAGAACGAGC